UUGUUGUCAUAGAAAAAGAAUUAGAUAGAUAGUCACAUUCUAGAAAGAGCAAAGUCAUAAAUACUUCUGUGCUCAAGCUCUCUCAUUAUUCUUGUCUUAGGAGAUGGAUGUCAAGUCAAUCUUUCACAAAUCUCAUUUCAGGUGCCAAGUUUCUUUCAAAGACUCCAAAGGAAAAGAUUUACUUGCAGAUGCUCGGAGAAUACCGUCUCAAGCCCAGGGCGAUGCAUUAUCUAUAGAAGAGCAGCAUAAAGCCAUGAUGUUGAGUUUCCUGCUUUCAUAAGGAAGUCUGCUUUUGGAUCAUCAAGUGUACUGAAAAAUCUGACUCUGUUUACUGCUACAGACUGAGAAUGGUGAAGCAUUAUUAUAACCAAACUAAGAUGAUUUUGGGUAGUCAUGGGGAGUAACUUUCAAAGCCAUGACUCCCCAAGCAAAGGAAAACAUUUCAUGUUCGCAAGAGGAAGUCAAGUCCUUUCUUGAUCACAGACACAACAUCAGAGAGCUCGUAACUUCAUUCAGACCACCAAAAAUACAAAGAUACAAACAUAUCAAAAAGCUUUUGUAUUAUUUCCCAACACAUAGGAAAUCCUCAGUUGAUCUGAGCUCACAAACAGAAAAAUAGGUGGCCUAAUAAAUGAGAUGGUCUCCCAUCCUUCA
rnacentral:lncRNA from 1 species